rnacentral:tRNA from 1 species
GCCUUCGCGGUGUAAUUGGAAACACAUUCGGCUCAUAUUCGAGAGGUCCAGGGUUCAAGUCCCGGUGAGAACA